rnacentral:misc_RNA from 1 species
GUUGCACAUCCGAGGACAGUCCACGCGCGUUCUUGACGUCGACGGACAGGAAUCCAUUGGCCAAAUUAAGGAACGCCUCUGUGCCCUUUCCGACAUCGGUGACGAUGAGUUAACGUUGUCAGUAUCCGGAGCGCCUCUUGAUGAUGACCUGCUGGUGUCUGAGCUAGCGGCAUUAGAUUUAGACCUCACUGUGCCACUACUCGGUG